CCAGGCGAGCAUGGCUACCGCUUGAGCCACAUCCCCAGCCCUAAAUAAAUAUUUUUUAAAAAUAAAAUAAAUAGUAUAUUUUAAGUUAAAUAUUAUAAAUUAAAUACAUAACUGUUCCAUUCUAACAGCAUUUGUAAAGUGCUUACUAAGUGCUAAAGUACUGGUCAAAGUACUUCUCAGGUUUUUUUUUCUUUUUUUAGUUAUACAUGAACACAAUAUCUUUAUUUUGUUUAUUUUUAUGUGGUGUUGAGGAUUGAACCCAGGGUCUCAAAUGUGAGAGGUGAGUGCUCUACGGCUGAACCACAACCCCAGACCUCAGGCCCUCAGGUGUUCUUUUUUGAUCUUUGCAACUUUCGUUUACAGAUCAGGAUACUAGGAUGCAGGGAAGUCUAUUUAACUUCCCUUUUCCCCUAAGUUUAUAUCACCAGUAGUUAGCAGUUGAGCCAUGAUUUAGAUACUAAAUAACAGGUCUAUUUAAAAAAAAAAAAAAGGAGUCCCAGAGUAUUGUAGAUAAAGGGCUUAUACUUUGUUGCUUUUGGUAUUCUCUAUCUCCCUUUCUUCUCAACUGCUUUUAUUCCUUUUUAAAGGAUUUUUACAUUCUUAGCAGAAAACUCUGAAAGUAAGUUUAGACAUUUUAUGAGGCAUGUCAGAAUAAGUAUAUUUCUUUGGCCUAUGCCUUGUUUUAGAAACUUUUCAUUUUGAACUAUGUUAUUUAUAGGAAGGGCUAUUAGUGUUCUCUCUGCCCAUUUGUGAUAAAUUUUAGAUUUCUAAAUUUUGUCAUGUUAUAAAGGUUUAGUAAGUAAUAAGUUGAUUUUGUAUGUCUCAAGGGUUUCUCAAAUAGACACAUAUUUGAGUUUAUUUUAUUCUUGCUUUUUUCUUUCUUUCUUUCUUUUUAAUUCCCCCAGUGAUUCUGUUUGCAGUAUUAACUGAAAUUUCUUAUGCUGACGCUAAUUGUGAUCUUUUUUUCCACUAGCAUGUAUUGGCGAACUCAGACUUGAAGAAGGACAUAGGUCCAGUGGACAACUUCUUAUCAACCAAGCAUGAAGAAAAACAACAAAAAAACCCUUUUGUCCUGAUCUUGAGGAUGAUUCUUCAACCCAGGCACAGGUAUAAUGGUUACAUUUCUCAGAGGUUCUUCUCUGUUUUGAGCCUAUAGGGGCAUCUGAGAUGUCAGUGAAGCUAUGAUGAAGUGUAUUAGAUAUGGGAAGUUGAAACACCAAGAGAGUGUUUAGUAACAUAGGUCUUAACACUGACCUUGAUGAAAAAAUUAACCCUGGAAAUUCAUAAUGCAAGACUAAAGAUGUGAUUGGUUUUAAAAAUAGCCUUGAAAUUCAAGUUAUUGACUUUUGUAACAGCAAAAUUUCACCAGUCAAGAUACAUAAGAGCGAAAUUCUGUGCUUGACAACUGGCAACUCUCUUCAUUUAGCAAGCCUAAUCCAGGGUGUAUCUCAACCCUGCAACAAACUAUUUUAUUUUUUCCUCUUUCCAGAUACCAAUUUUAACACCUAUGCUUUGUCCAUCCCCCUACCCCACAAGCUUUGAGCAGUCUUUUUUGCUUUGAAAGAAAACUCACGUGUACAUUUUUGUCUUCCCCUUAAUUUUUUUUUUGGGGGGGGGUACCAGGGAUUGAACGGAGGGGCACUUAAUCACUGAGCCACAUCCCCAUCCUUUUUUGUAUUUUGUUUAGAGUUAGGGCCUCACUAAGUUGCUGAGGCUGGCUUUGAACUUGAGAUCCGCCUGCUUCAGCUUCCCAAGCUGCUGGGAUUAUAGGUAUGCACCACUGCACCCAGCAAAUAUUUCUUUUUAACUAUAAACCAAGAAACUUUGAAGCUCAGCAUUCAUACAGUUUGUUCUUAAACUUUCUUAUUCUGUUUCUUACUAUUUUUUUCUGAGGUCUUUCUAAAUGUGAUUCCAUUUAUUUUCUUUUUUGAAGGAUUUUUUUUAUAUAUAUAAAGUGGAGUGUAGGUAAUAAGAAUCACUCUUGUCCUUUUCUGUUAAAAUCUGGUAUCCAGGAGCAAUGUCUGAUUUUCAUUGAUGAGUUUUUGUCUGGGAUAAAAGACCUGUUGAGUCCAGUGUUGAUUAACUUGGCAGUGUAAGUAAAGUCACAUCCUGCUUAGUGAAUAACUAGCCAUUAUGUUUUAUAUUCCUUACGCUUCUGGAAUGCCAGCCUGGAAACAAACUGGAGAGGAAGGAGAAUACUUUGAAUGACAGACAUUUGAGAGUUUUUGUUUUUUGUGGAAACAAAACUUAGGAUCAAAUGUCUUCAUACUAGUUUUCUUUUUUCAUUGCUUCUGAUCAUUUUGUUUAUUAUUUAAAAUCAGCAUUCUGCCUCAGGGUGUUUUUAUAUACUCUAACUUUUGUUUUGCCUUUCUAGCUGCUAAGGUAGAUAAUGAUUAUUGAAAGUGCACAUUUUUAAAUGAUCUCCAGUGUGGAUUGCUUCUGAGUCCCUGAUGGAAUGAGUUCCUAGAGGAGGAAUCAGUCAUUUGGAAUCCAGGACCAUUCAGCAAGGAUAACUGCCUGCUCAUAUGGUCAGAAUGCUCAGACUCUGGCACACCAACGGCUUUCUCCUUCAUUUUCUAAGAAGCGAGUCUUGUCAGGCCCAGUGUUGCCAUCUAGCUAUUCUCAUUUCAUUCCCAAAGUAGUGAUUCCACCACUUUGAAUGUCAAAGGGAGUUGAAGUGUCAGUGAGUCAGUGUAACAAAUCUGUUAAGGAAGCAAAUAAAAAGAAUUUGGUUUGCUAACUGCCUGAAGUUUAGAAAGUUCUGGUUUUCACUUUACAAUUUGCAAAGCAUAAAGCCAUUUCCUUGUUAAAUUCAGAUGAAUUCUUCAGUAUUUCUUCUCUUAAUGAAUUCAUUUUGAUGCUUAUUUCCUAUAACCAAGAAGGCAGUAGAACAGAAAUAAGUCUUUUAAGUUUGAAGCUUGUGCUAAUAAUCAGAUAAAGUUCACUUUCUUCUGGUUUAAGUGAUAUAUAAAUAAAAUAUCCAUUUUAAAUUAGAUUGGCAACUUAAAAAAUCACUUAGAACAAUUUGUUAGUAUUUUUGGUUCCCUUUGAUAGAAUUGUUUUUCCUUUACACGUUUUUACUGCAAAAUGAAGGAUAGACUUGAACUAAAUUGGUCAACUUGUAUUUGAUCUUCACGGGAAUUACAUCUCUUUUCACUCAACAUUUAUUAAAGAAGUAUGAAAACCAGUUGUGGUGGCAUGCGCCUGUAGACCCAGCUACUUAGUCCUAGACAGGAGGAUCACUUGAGCCCAAGAGUUCAAGGCUAGCCUGGGCAAUAUAGUGAGAUCCCGUCUUAGAAAGGAACACAGAAAAUUCCAGUCUAUAGCAAGUUCUUGGCUUGACUAAGAGCUGAUUUUCAUUAAGGAACAGAACUUGUAAUUCAUUUCCACACGUUAAGAUACAGUUUAUCCCUAUUAAAAUUUGUUUAUUCUGAAACUACACCCUUGUCAUCUAAUGUUAUGUCAUUCCUAGUUUACUGUGUCUCACCUUCAAGAUUUCGUGCCUGCUGCUGAAAUGGAAACCAGCCAGUGCAGAAAACUGGGGGAAAAUGACAUGUGAAGAAUGCAAGGGGAAAUGGGAACUCAUUUCUAGCAUUUUCAAAUCAGCUUUGUCUACUCCACUACAGUCAGAGGAAAAGAACUGACUUCAUGGAAUUUACCAGCUAAGCCUUACCACUGUUGUUAGUGUUUUUAGGAAAUAUACUAAAAGGUAAGUGAAUUGUAUGUUUUGAAGAAUGAUUGCUAGGUAUUGUAAAACCAGUUGUUCCAUUUUAGUAAAGAUCAGCAGCUCCUUUAUUCUAAACCUCAAAUUCUUGCCCAUAUUUGGUAUGUUAACAGUAUUGUGGAGAAGGUGAACUUAUGCAACAUGGACCUUUUUCUCCACUCUCAGCAACUAAGCUGGAACUUAGGUUGAAGUAUACAUGGUGCUGAUUUUUGCUGUUUUGUUGUGCUUAAAUUUUUUUUAAAUUAUUUCAGUUGAGUUUUAGUUUUAUCCCUCAUUAUAUAGAAAAAAGCUUUAAUGUUUCAAAGGUCCUAUCAAGCAUUGUAUAUACAUUAGCUUUUGACAAAUAAGAGCAACAUUAAGGAUUUUUAUUAACAUCCACCAAUAUAUGGUUUUAAUAAAUAAUUUUAAAUUACCUGAAAUAAAUUAUUCCACAUUUAUUAUAUACCUAUGUAUGCCAGGCCCUGAAUACAAAGAUGAACUAAUAUACCCAAUUCAUAUCCUCACGGAGUUCAUUUUUACUGAUACACUACAGAUAGAAGUUUAGUUUGAGGAAUCAAAAUCUGAUAAAAUGAGGCUAAUUCCAUAUUCUCAUCAACAAUCCACUCUAAUAACUAGUAUGUUAAUCUGAAUGUGACAUAUUCUAUAAGAAAACCUCCAUUUGUGUGUACAUGUGAGCUGAACAUUUACCAAUACUUUGUAUGUGUGGGUACAUCACAGGUUUAAUCCUCACAUCUGUGCUAUGAGAUAGGUGUUAUUUUCUCAGGCAAGCAUAAAAGCUAACUAACUUGGCCUAAGUUUGCAUAACUGAUGAGGACUGAUACUUAAACACAGGCAGACUGAUAGCAGAACAUGUACUCCUAAGUUAGAUGUGAUAUUUAUAUGCAGUUCCUGGCUAUAAAACAUUCACAGUUCUUAAUAAAAUAUGCCUCCUUUUAAAAAAGGAAAUCACAAAUAGCUUAGAAAAAUAGAAAUAUAAUAGAAUCUGGGGUUUUAGAGAGCCAGAAAAUCACAAACUUUUUCUUCCCCAAUUCAAAGAUAGUUUGUAUGCUGACCUUACCUCUUUGCCCCAGACACAAAAUUCAGUGGAACAGAAGGAGGAUAUUUAUAUUCAUGUAAUAUAAAUAUAAUAUUAUAUAAAAUACAUUUACACAUAUAAACUUACAAAACAUAUUAAUAUAAUUAGACAAAUAUUUAUAUAAUUUAAAUAUUAUAUAAUAAUAUUGCAUUUAGGAUCUUGUCCUUCAGGUCCACCCUCUUUUUUGGAAUUUAGACAUUUUCUUUAAGUGAUAAAUUAUGAAAAAAUACCACUGCUGAGACUUUCCUUAGGACUCUUUUUAAAAAAUAGGUUAAGAAUUUUUGUGCAAAAGUGAAGAAAAACUUCUGAGAAACCCAGGUAGGUAAUUUAUCCCCUGUUGUAUGCAAAGCCUCUGCACUUCUGUCCUUUAUUGUUUUAUACUUCUGUAAAUCUGAUUUUACCUUUAAUAAACUGGUUUCUAAAGUGA